rnacentral:rRNA from 1 species
UACGUAGGGUGCAAGCGUUAAUCGGAAUUACUGGGCGUAAAGCGUGCGCAGGCGGUGAUGUAAGACAGGUGUGAAAUCCCCGGGCUUAACCUGGGAACUGCAUUUGUGACUGCAUAGCUAGAGUACGGUAGAGGGGGGGAUGGAAUUCCGCGUGUAGCAGUGAAAUGCGUAGAUAUGCGGAGGAACACCGAUGGCGAAGGCAAUCCCCUGGACCUGUACUGACGCUCAUGCACGAAAGCGUGGGGAGCAAACGAGG